rnacentral:rRNA from 1 species
UACGUAGGCAGCGAGCGUUGUUCGGAGUUACUGGGCGUAAAGUGUGCGCAGGUGGCCGCGCAAGUCGAGUGUGAAAUCCCCCGAGCUUAACUUGGGAAUUGCGCUCGAAACUACGUGGCUCGAGUGUGGCAGAGGAAGGUGGAAUUCCACGUGUAGCGGUGAAAUGCGUAGAGAUGUGGAGGAACACCGAUGGCGAAGGCAGCCCCCUGGGUCAAGAUUGACGCUCAUGCACGAAAGCGUGGGGAGCAAACAGG